CCAUGUGUAGCGGUGAAAUGCGUAGAUAUAUGGAAGAACACCAGUGGCGAAGGCGGCUGUGUGGUCUGUAACUGACGCUGAGGCUCGAUAGUAUGGGUAGCUAACAGAAAUAGAUACCCUGGUAGUCCAUACCGUAAACGAUGAAUGCUAAGUGUUGGAGGGUAUCCGCCCUUCAGUGCUGCAGCUAUCGCAGUAAGCAUUCCGCCUGGGGAGUACGGCCGCAAGGCUGAAACUCAAAGGAAUUGACGGGGGCCCGCACAAGCGGUGGAGCAUGUGGUUUAAUUCGAAGCUACGCGAAGAACCUUACCAGGUCUUGACAUACUAUGCAAAUCUAAGAGAUUAGACGUUCCCUUCGGGGACAUGGAUACAGGUGGUGCAUGGUUGUCGUCAGCUCGUGUCGUGAGAUGUUGGGUUAAGUCCCGCAACGAGCGCAACCCUUAUUAUCAGUUGCCAGCAUUAAGUUGGGCACUCUGGUGAGACUGCCGGUGUCACACCGGAGGAAGGUGGGGAUGACGUCAAAUCAUCAUGCCCCUUAUGACCUGGGCUACACCCGUGCUCCAAUGGAUGGUACAUCGAGUUGCGAACUCGCGAGAGUAAGCUAAUCUCUUAAAGCCAUUCUCAGUUCGGAUUGUAGGCUGCAACUCGCCUACAUGAAGUCGGAAUCGCUAGUAAUCGCGGAUCAGCAUGCCGCGGUGAAUACGUUCCCGGGCCUUGUACACACCGCCCGUCACACCAUGAGAG
rnacentral:rRNA from 2 species